GAUGAAGAACGCAGCGAAAUGCGAUAAGUAAUGUGAAUUGCAGAAUUCAGUGAAUCAUCGAAUCUUUGAACGCACAUUGCGCCCGCCAGCAUUCUGGCGGGCAUGCCUGUUCGAGCGUCAUUUCAACCCUCGAGCCCCCCCGGGGGCCUCGGUGUUGGGGGACGGCACACCAGCCGCCCCCGAAAUGCAGUGGCGACCCCGCCGCAGCCUCCCCUGCGUAGUAGCACACACCUCGCACCGGAGCGCGGAGGCGGUCACGCCGUAAAACGCCCAACUUUCUUAGAGUUGACCUCGGAUCAGGUAGGAAGACCCGCUGAACUUAAGCAUAUCAAUAAGCGGAGGA
rnacentral:misc_RNA from 1 species